UCGGUGAUAUUAUUCCCUCAUAAGUAGAAACUGUCUAUAAACAUGAUAUUCCCUAUCGAAAAAAAAAUAAAAAUCUUGCUUCUCCAAUUUUUAUACGACCACAAACAAAUUUUUGUGGUCGUAUAUUGGUAUGACGUUGGCGUCGUCGUCCGAAGACACAUUAGUUUUCGCACUCUAACUUUAGUUUAAGCGAAUGGAUCUCAAUGAAAUUUUACCUUAAGGUUCAAUACCACAAAAGGAAGAUGGGGAUUGAUUUUGGGGGUUAUGGUACCCACAGUUAAGGAAUUUGGGGCCAAAAAGGGGCCAAAAAUAAGCAUUUUUGUAACUUCCAGACAUAACUUGUGUGUAAGUGUAUGGAUCUCUCUGACAUUGUACCACAAGGUUCCAUAUCACAAAGGGAAUGCUGGGAUUGAUUUUGGGGGUAAUUGCCUCCAAAUUUUAGGAAUUAGGGGCCAAAAAGGGGCAAAAAAACAAGCAUUUUUCUAGUUUCAUGACAAUAACUUGUGUGUAAGUGUAUGGAUCUUUAUGAAAUUGUACUACAAGAUUCCAUAUCACAAAGGGAAAGCUGGAAUUGAGUUUGGGGGUAAUUGCCCAAAAAGUUUAGGAAUAAGGGGCCAAAAAAGGGCCACAAAUAAGCAUUUUCUAGUUUCCAGACAAUAACUUGUGUUCAAAUGUAUGGAUCUCUCUGAAAUUGUACUGCAAGGUACCAUACCACAAAGGGAAGACUGGGAUUUAUUUUGGGGGUAAUUCCCUCAAAAUUUUAGUAAUUAGGGGCCAUAAAAGGGCAAAAAAACAAGCAUUUUUCUAGUUUCAGGACAACAACUUGUGUGUAAUUGUAUGGAUCUUUAUGAAAUUGUACUGCAAGGUUCCAUAUCACAAAGGGAAAGCUGGGUUUGAGUUUCUGGAUAAUUGCCCUAAACGUUUAGGAAUUUGGGGCCAAAAAGGGGCCAAAAAACAAGCAUUUUUCUAGUUUCCAGACAAUAACUUGUGUUCAAGUGUAUGGAUCUCUCUGAAAUUGUACUGCAAGGUACCAUACCACAAAGGGAAAGGUGGGAUUGAGUUUGGGGGUGAUGAAUCAUAAGGGGGUUCAAAAAAUUGGGGGGGAUUUUUUUUUCCUUUUUUUUCUUUAAAAUUUUCCAUUUUGAAUUGGUUAUUUCUGAUUUAUAUAUAAAAGCAAAUAAUAAUGAUAUGGUAUGAAUAGGUAAAUUAAGAAAUUUUAAGUUCUUAGACCACUUUCAUUCUGUGUGAGAAACCUAUGCUGUGUCAAAUAUUUAAUUACAAUCCAAAUUCAGUGCUGUAUCAAGCUUGAAUGUUGUGUCCAUACUUGCCCCAACUGUUCAGAGUUCGACCUCUGCGGUCGUAUAUAGCUGCGCCCCAGCGGAGCAUUUUAUUAAAACUUGAAACUAAACAAGAUCUUAAAUUAACAUUUCAAACCAAUAGAAUAGCAUACUUUGGAUUCAUUAUUAAUCGUGGGAUAACAAUUUUCAUGGAUUCAUUAUAAUUUGUUGGAUAACAAUUUUCGUGGAUUUCAUGGUUAUAGGUAUGUAUAUACCACAAAUUUAAAUGUACAACGAAGUAAACAUUUUCUAUUGAUUAGAAUGGAUACUUUGACACAACCAUGAAAUUAAAUAUAAAAGAGAAAAACAAUAUUCCCUGAAUCCAUGAAAAUAAAUGAAUCCACAGUAUUGUGACCAAAGACAAGUACUCUCAUCCCAUUUGUUAGCCCUACAAAUGUACAAUUGAUUCAUUUAUGUAUGCUAUUAAAGAUUGAAAUUAAACUUUGAAGAAGAUUUGUUGAAUAAGAUAUCUGGGAAAGGGCAUCAAAACUACUUGUUUUCUUUUAAAUUUUAUAAUCAAUUAUGAGGUUUAGAUAACAGCUCAUCGGUAAAUAGGAAAUAAACCAAAAUUGAUUUUAUCCACUAUUUACUUACUAUUAAAUCUCAUUCAUAAACAAAUAUUGUAAAUAGCAGAUGAAAGUAACAUCUUGAAGAAAUUACACACUAUUUUAUUAGCUAUUUAUUAUUAAAGUAAAAUAAAAAAAAAAAAAAUAAAAAAAA